UCGUUUCUUUUUCUAACCCGCGUCCACGACCGAGUGCCCGACCGAGCGGAUCCCCCGAAUCCAGAACACCCAGCCGCAGCCGCCGGCCCGCCACCUCUCUCCCCGGGCGCCGCCGCCACCUUCCUCUCAGGCCACCGGAGCCGCCGACCCCACCUCUCCCUGGACGUGGGCGCAUCCGCCUCUCCUUUCUCCCCUGCCGCCACCAUCUAAUUUCCCUGGACUCGCCGCCGCCGCCCCGAUCUGCGGCUACCGGCGCCGCUCCCUUCCUCCGGUCGGUGAAAUGGAGUCGCCGUGGUGCCUUACUGUGGAUACCAGUCCGCCGCCGUGGAACGGAGCCGCCCCGAGCUCCUGAGCAGCUCGUGGGGGGCUGCAUAGCUGCGUCCGGUCGGACGACUGGAUCUGAAGCAUGCGAGCACGGCCCCUUUGUCCAUGACGGCCAGGUAUGGGAUGAUUGGGGAUUCGUUGUCUAGUGGCUUGUGGUGGAGUUCCAUCAAGCAUUUUCAGAGGUGAUGUUCGGGAUUUGGCAUUUGGCAGCUUGUUAUUGUGCUCCAGGAUGUUAUGUACUCCGAUGGCUUCUAUGGUGUUGUUGUUGAUCUUGAAGGGGUCUCUGAUUGGAAGUUCAAUGUUUUUCUCUUUCUUUUUUUGUUUCAGAAACGAGUGAUAAUAUUAUUGGUAAUACGUUGUCAGCGUGCUUAAA